rnacentral:rRNA from 1 species
AUGGACGAGAUGAGAUUGAGGUUUUCAGUAGUCGGCGGUGGGGAGCUGCUCGUGGGGGCGCUGGCCGAUGAAGCAGAUGUCGUAGACGAGGGCGGCGAUGGCGGCGCCGGCGAAGGGGCCGAGCCAGUAGACCCAGUGGUUCUCCCAGACGCCGCUGACGACAGCGGGGCCGAAGGAGACGGCGGGGUUCAUGGAGGCGCCGUCGAAGGCGCCGCCGGCGAGGAUGUUGGCGCCGACGAUGAAGCCGAUGGCGAUGGGCGCGAUCACCCCGAGGUCGCCGCGCUUGGGGUCGACCGCGGUGGCGUACACCGUGUAGACGAGCCCGAAGGUCAUGACGAUCUCGAACACCACGGCGUUCCAGACGCCGACGCCGGCGGAGAGCGAGAAGGCGCCCACGGCCUCGCCGCCGGUGGCGAUCUUGAGGAGGAGGCAGGCCACGACGGAGCCGAGCAGCUGCGCCACCCAGUACACCACGGCCUUGAGCAGGCUGAUGUUGCCGCCCACGAAGGCGCCGAAUGUGACGGCCGGGUUCACGUGCCCGCCGGAGAUGUUGGCGCCCACGGAGACGGCCACGAAGAGCGCGAACGCGUGUCCGGGUGGGACAGCUCCCCCGGGGCGCCGAUGGCGAUCCUGCUCACCGGCAUUUUCGACGGGCACUCUUUCUUUUUUUUCUGGAUGGAUGGAUCGGUUCGUGUGCUGUGUAGCUAG